rnacentral:rRNA from 1 species
UACGUAGGGGGCGAGCGUUGUCCGGAAUUAUUGGGCGUAAAGGGCGCGCAGGCGGCCUUCUAAGUCUGAUGUGAAAUCUCGUGGCUCAACCACGAACGGUCAUUGGAAACUGGGAGGCUUGAGUACAGAAGAGGAGAGUGGAAUUCCACGUGUAGCGGUGAAAUGCGCAGAGAUGUGGAGGAACACCAGUGGCGAAGGCGACUCUCUGGUCUGUAACUGACGCUGAGGCGCAAAAGCGUGGGUAGCAAACAGG